ACAAGUUCACCCCUACCAAAUACCCUUGAGCUUCGCGAAACAUAGGCAGUCCUAAACUUAAUAAUCACAUGUAACAUAUAGAAUAUAUCGGCUACUGUCCGAAAGCAUGUGACAAUAAUGCCAAGAUUCAAGUCGAUUGACAUACAUGAGGAAUUGCCCCUUUUCACUACUGAUGGCAUGUAAAAAAACAAUGGAUCCAUGAAUAGAAUCGACAUACAUGAGGACUUGCCCCUUUUCACCACUGAUGGCAUGUAAAAAAAUAAUGGAUCCAUGAAUAGAGCCAGCAAGCAAGAACACAAGAAUACCCUAUUCCAUUGUAUCACUAU
rnacentral:lncRNA from 1 species